rnacentral:rRNA from 1 species
UACGGGGGGGGCAAGCGUUUGUUCGGAAUUACUGGGCGUAAAGGGCUCGUAGGCGGCCAACUAAGUCAGACGUGAAAUCCCUAGGCUCAACCUAGGAACUGCGUCUGAUACUGGAUGGCUUGAAUCCGGGAGAGGGAUGCAGAAUUCCAGGUGUAGCGGUGAAAUGCGUAGAUAUCUGGAGGAAUACCGGUGGCGAAGGCGGCAUCCUGGACCGGCAUUGACGCUGAGGAGCGAAAGCUAGGGGAGCAAACGGG